UUGUGAGUUUCUCCGUUGACGUCUAUGGACAAAGGUUGCUGUGGUGACAACUGAGAAUCAUAAGUGAAAUGCCAGCAAUAUGCUUUGCUCAUAGGCUCUUGUUUGUCUAAAUUACACGGAUUCUGCGUCCAACCUAAAUAUUUCAUUCUUUUAAGCACUUGCUGAAAAUGUCUGCGACAGCCAGCCACGACUGCAGAAUCCUCUGUUGUCAACGUCAAGACCAAUGGCAUGUAUUUAUCUUCACGCUCUACCCCAAUUCCAAGGGUUGAAUAUGUAUUAUACCAUUUGAACCUUG